UAACACAUGCAAGUCGAGCGCAGUCCUUCGGGACCGAGCGGCGGACGGGUUAGUAACGCGUGGGAACAUACCCUUUUCUACGGAAUAGCCUCGGGAAACUGAGAGUAAUACCGUAUAAGCCCUUCGGGGGAAAGAUUUAUCGGGAAAGGAUUGGCCCGCGUUAGAUUAGAUAGUUGGUGGGGUAAUGGCCUACCAAGUCUACGAUCUAUAGCUGGUUUUAGAGGAUGAUCAGCAACACUGGGACUGAGACACGGCCCAGACUCCCUACGGGAGGCAGCAGUGGGGAAUCUUAGACAAUGGGCGCAAGCCUGAUCUAGCCAUGCCGCGUGUGUGAUGAAGGUCUUAGGAUCGUAAAGCACUUUCGCCAGGGAUGAUAAUGACAGUACCUGGUAAAGAAACCCCGGCUAACUCCGUGCCAGCAGCCGCGGUAAUACGGAGGGGGUUAGCGUUGUUCGGAAUUACUGGGCGUAAAGCGUACGUAGGCGGAUCAGAAAGUUAGGGGUGAAAUCCCGAGGCUCAACCUCGGAACUGCCUCUAAAACUCCUGGUCUUGAGUUCGAGAGAGGUGAGUGGAAUUCCAAGUGUAGAGGUGAAAUUCGUAGAUAUUUGGAGGAACACCAGUGGCGAAGGCGGCUCACUGGCUCGAUACUGACGCUGAGGUACGAAAGUGUGGGGAGCAAACAGGAUUAGAUACCCUGGUAGUCCACACCGUAAACGAUGAAUGCCAGUCGUCGGGCAGUAUACUGUUCGGUGACACACCUAACGGAUUAAGCAUUCCGCCUGGGGAGUACGGUCGCAAGAUUAAAACUCAAAGGAAUUGACGGGGGCCCGCACAAGCGGUGGAGCAUGUGGUUUAAUUUCGAAGCAACGCGCAGAACCUUUACCAACCCUUGACAUCCUGUGCUAACUCGAGAGAUCGAGCGUUCACUUCGGUGACGCAGUGACAGGUGCUGCAUGGCUGUCGUCAGCUCGUGUCGUGAGAUGUUCGGUUAAGUCCGGCAACGAGCGCAACCCACAUCCUUAGUUGCCAGCAGUUCGGCUGGGCACUCUAAGGAAACUGCCCGUGAUAAGCGGGAGGAAGGUGUGGAUGACGUCAAGUCCUCAUGGCCCUUACGGGUUGGGCUACACACGUGCUACAAUGGCAGUGACAAUGGGUUAAUCCCAAAAAGCUGUCUCAGUUCGGAUUGGGGUCUGCAACUCGACCCCAUGAAGUCGGAAUCGCUAGUAAUCGCGUAACAGCAUGACGCGGUGAAUACGUUCCCGGGCCUUGUACACACCGCCCGUCACACCAUGGGAGUUGGUUCUACCCGACGACGCUGCGCUAACCCUUCGGGGAGGCAGGCGGCCACGGUAGGAUCAGCGACUGGGGUG
rnacentral:rRNA from 1 species